rnacentral:rRNA from 1 species
AAUCCAUAGGUUAAUGAGGCGAACCGGGGGAACUGAAACAUCUAAGUACCCCGAGGAAAAGAAAUCAACCGAGAUUCCCCCAGUAGCGGCGAGCGAACGGGGAGGAGCCCAGAGCCUGAAUCAGCAUGUGUGUUAGUGGAAGCGUCUGGAAAGGCGCGCGAUACAGGGUGACAGCCCCGUACACAAAAGCGCAUGUGCUGUGAGCUCGAUGAGUAGGGCGGGACACGUGGUAUCCUGUCUGAAUAUGGGGGGACCAUCCUCCAAGGCUAAAUACUCCUGACUGACCGAUAGUGAACCAGUACCGUGAGGGAAAGGCGAAAAGAACCCCGGCGAGGGGAGUGAAAAAGAACCUGAAACCGUGUACGUACAAGCAGUGGGAGCCCCACCACCAAAGCAUUUGCUGUACCGCGUUGACGGAGCGAAGCGACGUCAAACCGAUAAAACAGCAGUGUAAAGUGAGCCGCAGGGCGCUUUGCGCGACAGCGCAAAGGCAGGCGGUUUCGCGUAGCGAAAGCGAAUGCUUUGGGGUGGGGUGACUGCGUACCUUUUGUAUAAUGGGUCAGCGACUUAUAUUCUGUAGCAAGGUUAACCGAAUAGGGGAGCCGGAGGGAAACCGAGUCUUAACCGGGCGUUAAGUUGCAGGGUAUAGACCCGAAACCCGGUGAUCUAGCCAUGGGCAGGUUGAAGGUUGGGUAACACUAACUGGAGGACCGAACCGACUAAUGUUGAAAAAUUAGCGGAUGACCUGUGGCUGGGGGUGAAAGGCCAAUCAAACCGGGAGAUAGCUGGUUCUCCCCGAAAGCUAUUUAGGUAGCGCCUCGUGAAUUCAUCUCCGGGGGUAGAGCACUGUUUCGGCUAGGGGGCCAUCCCGGCUUACCAACCCGAUGCAAACUGCGAAUACCGGAGAAUGUUAUCACGGGAGACACACGGCGGGUGCUAACGUCCGUCGUGAAGAGGGAAACAACCCAGACCGCCAGCUAAGGUCCCAAAGUCAUGGUUAAGUGGGAAACGAUGUGGGAAGGCCCAGACAGCCAGGAUGUUGGCUUAGAAGCAGCCAUCAUUUAAAGAAAGCGUAAUAGCUCACUGGUCGAGUCGGCCUGCGCGGAAGAUGUAACGGGGCUAAACCAUGCACCGAAGCUGCGGCAGCGACACUGUGUGUUGUUGGGUAGGGGAGCGUUCUGUAAGCCUGUGAAGGUGUGUC